rnacentral:rRNA from 1 species
AGCCACAGCCAUAUCACCCUGCAGCCCAAGACUGGUUGCUCACUGAAGCUAACAAUGGCUGAAAUUAGUCAGUACCUGGAUGGGAGAUCACAUGGUAGAGCUAGGUUGCUGUUGGAA